rnacentral:rRNA from 1 species
UACGAAGGGUGCAAGCGUUGUUCGGAAUUAUUGGGCGUAAAGCGCACGUAGGCGGCCUUGUAAGUCUCACUGUGAAAGUCCGGGGCUCAACCCCGGGAUGCCAGGGGAUACUGCGAGGCUGGAGACAAGUAGAGGUUGGUAGAAUUCCGGGUGUAGCGGUGGAAUGCGUAGAGAUCCGGAGGAAUACCAGAGGCGAAGGCGGCCAACUGGGCUUGUUCUGACGCUGAGGUGCGAAAGCGUGGGGAGCAAACAGG